rnacentral:rRNA from 1 species
GAGUUUGAUCCUGGCUCAGGAUGAACGCUAGCGGAACGCCUAACACAUGCAAGUCAAACGGUCGCCUCGGCGACAGUGGCAAACGAGCGAGUAACGCGUACCUAAUCUGCCCUUGAGUUGGGAACAACUACGGAGACGUAGCUAAUUCCCAAUAUGCUCACGACGGUGAAAUUCCGAUGUGAGGAAAGAUUUAUCGCUCAAGGAGGGGGGUGCGUCCUAUCAGGUUGUUGGUAGGGUAAUAGCCUACCAAGCCUAUGAAGGGUAGCCGGUCUGACAGGAUGUCCGGCCGCGAUGGGACUGAGAUACGGCCCGUACUCCUACGGGAGGCAGCAGUGGGGAAUUUUGCACAAUGGACGCAAGUCUGAUGCAGCGAUUCCGCGUGGAGGAUGAAGCAUUACGGUGUGUAAACUCCUUUUCUGGUGGAAGACGAAUGACGGUACACCAGGAAUAAGAGACGGCUAACUACGUGCCAGCAGCCGCGGUAAUACGUAGGUCUCAAGCGUUAUCCGGAUUUACUGGGCGUAAAGAGUCCGUAGCCCGAUAUGUAAGUCAGUUUUCAAAUACCCCGACUCAAUCGGGGAAAGGGAAUAGAUACUGCAUAUCUAGAGAGUAUUGGAGGUUAGUGGAAUUUCCGGUGGAGCGGUGAAAUGCGUUGAUAUCGGAAAGAACGCCGAAAGCGAAAGCAGCUAACUAUGAUCACUCUGACGGUGAGGGACGACAGCAUGGGGAGCAAACGGGAUUAGAUACCCCGGUAGUCCAUGCCGUAAAUUAUGUCUGCUAGGUGUUUCUCCGGUAAUUAUAUUUGUAUCGUAUAAAUGUAAUUACCGGAGGAGUGCCGUAAUCUAACGAGUUAAGCAGAUCGCCUGGGUAGUAUAUUCGCAAGAAUGAAACUCAAAGGGAUAGGCGGGGGACCC